UGUAGACUCCCCUGACAUGGCUUGUAAAUACCACUUUCCCGCAAAAGGAGCUGGGCAGGGCUCUUGAGAGAUACCGGUGACUCUAGAACUGGGACGGGGAAAGUACGACUGAGUCCGCAGCAUCCCACAGCGCCAUAAGUCAGGAAUACCCAAAAAUACGUGUAGGUGUGUCAAGGGACAAAGGACUCAACCAGCAACAGCCCCCAGUGCCCAAACCUGGCACAGUUUUAUUUAGAAUGUAAGGACAUGAAGUAAAAUGUCAUCUCCCUGCCACACCCCACAUAAUCUGGAAUGAGAAUCUUCCAAGCAACAGGAGGGCCUUGGAAGGGAAGAGACGUAGAUCUCUGUGUUCAUCCCAAUGUGCAAAACCAGAACAGAGUUAUACGUUGCCUCCAAAAACGUUGCCUCCAGAUAGUGAACAGAAAACAGUAUUUUCCUACUAAACCUUCAAUUUAUAUAUAGCUGACAAGAAAAAACACUGACUCCAAUAAAAAAAAAAACAGGCAAAGUAUAUAUGAAUAAAUCAUUCUUAUAAGAAAACAU
ensembl:lncRNA